AGUGAACGCUGGCGGCAGGCCUAACACAUGCAAGUCGAGCGGCAGCGCGGGGGCAACCCUGGCGGCGAGCGGCGGACGGGUGAGGAAUGCGUCGGAAUCUGCCUCUUUGUGGGGGAUAACGUAGGGAAACUUACGCUAAUACCGCAUACGACCUACGGGUGAAAGUGGGGGACCUUCGGGCCUCACGCAGAGAGAUGAGCCGACGCCGGAUUAGCUAGUUGGCGGGGUAAAGGCCCACCAAGGCGACGAUCCGUAGCUGGUCUGAGAGGAUGAUCAGCCACACUGGAACUGAGACACGGUCCAGACUCCUACGGGAGGCAGCAGUGGGGAAUAUUGGACAAUGGGCGCAAGCCUGAUCCAGCCGUGCCGCGUGUGUGAAGAAGGCCUUCGGGUUGUAAAGCACUUUUGUCCGGAAAGAAAAGCUUCCGAUUAAUACUCGGGAGUCAUGACGGUACCGGAAGAAUAAGCACCGGCUAACUUCGUGCCAGCCGCCGCAGUAACAC
rnacentral:rRNA from 1 species